rnacentral:rRNA from 1 species
CCUACGGGAGGCAGCAGUGGGGGAUUUUCCGCAAUGGGCGAAAGCCUGACGGAGCAAUCUCGCGUGAGGGAUGACGGCCUAUGGGUUGUAAACCUCUUUUUUCAGGGAGGAACAAAAUGAUGUGUACCUGAAGAAUAAGCAUCGGCUAACUCCGUGCCAGCAGCCGCGGUAAU